CUAACACCUGCAGAGACAUUGGAAGUCAUGUGUUGAAAAUGGCAGAGCUUCCAUCAACCCGAGUUCCUGAGUAACUGUGUGGCACAGAGCCGUCCACUGCCACCACCUCACCAACUUAGAACCAUCUGGACCUGUUUAUGGGCAGCCAAACAUUAACAGCGUCAAGCCUCCUCCAAGUCACAGGUGACAAAGAAAGGAAAGACUUCUCUUCAAAAGGCCACGUAAACAGGCUUGUGUGGAUAAUCCAUUGACAGAAAACACUAAGGAGCAGAAAGACUUCCCGACUCAGGCUCUAAAAAUACAAACUACACAGUAAAAACUGUUGGAUUUGACUUCAAUAAAAUUAUGGAUUUCUGUUCAAUAAAGAAUACCAUAACAGGGUUAAGAUAGAUGACAGGCAAGGAAAAGCUUCUGCAACGUCUAAAAUUGACAACGGAUUAAAUCUCUAGCAUAGACAAGGAAUUCCUACAAUUUGAUAUGAACAUCAGAGGACACCCAAUAGAAAAAUGGCCAAAAGAUAUGAGUAGGAAACUCACAGAAAGAGAAGUUCAAAUGGUUAACAAGUACAUAAAGAGAUGAUCAAAAUAAAACCAACAAGAAAAAUGCUAAUUAAAACAGUGAGCUAGCACUUAUACCUAUAAGAAGGGCAAAAAUUAGAAUGGUGGGUAAUAGUAGGUACUGUCAAAGAUGUGGGGAGGCAAGAACUCUCGUGCAUUAUGGGUAAGAGUGUAAACGGACACA